CCUACGGGGGGCAGCAGUGGGGAAUAUUGCACAAUGGGCGCAAGCCUGAUGCAGCAACGCCGCGUGAGGGACGACGGCCUUCGGGUUGAAACCUCUUUUAGUAGGGAAGCGGUACCUGCAGAAAAAGCACCGGCUAACUACGUGCCAGCAGCCGCGGUAAUACGUAGGGUGCAAGCGUUAUCCGGAAUUAUUGGGCGUAAAGAGCUCGUAGGCGGUCUGUCGCGUCUGCUGUGAAAACUGGGGGCUCAACCCCCAGCCUGCAGUGGGUACGGGCAGACUAGAGUGCGGUAGGGGAGAUUGGAACUCCUGGUGUAGCGGUGGAAUGCGCAGAUAUCAGGAAGAACACCGAUGGCGAAGGCAGAUCUCUGGGCCGUACUGACGCUGAGGAGCGAAAGCAUGGGGAGCGAACAGGAUUAGAUACCCUUGUAGUC
rnacentral:rRNA from 1 species